rnacentral:lncRNA from 1 species
UUAUUACUUAUCAGUAGUUUUCUCUUGUUUUGAAAUAGAAGAACAUGGAGACGAAAUUAAAUCAAAUCAAGUCAAGGUUUCGAAUUUGAAAUUGGGGUUAUUGGGGUUUCUCUUCUUCUAUCACAAGUUCAAGUUAGGUUUUCUUUUAUCAAAUUCAGAAGAAAUCAAAUUGGGGUUUCGAAUUUGAAAUUGGGGUUGUUGGGGUUUCUCUUCUUCCAUCAUCAAGUUCAAGUUUGUUUUUUUUUUUUUUAUCAAAUUCAGAAGAAAUCAAAUUGGGGUUGUUGGGGUUUCUUUUCUUCCAUCAUCAAGUUAAAGUUAGGUUUUCUUUUAUCAAAUUCAGAAGAAAUUAAAUUGGGGUUUCGAAUUUGAAAUUGGGGUUGUUGGGGUUUCUCUUCUUCCAUCAUCAACUUCAAGUUUUUUUUUUUUUUAUCAAAUUCAGAAGAAAUCAAAUUGGGUUUUCAAUUUUCACAACAAGAUCAUCAUCAUCACCACUGAAUUUGGGCGAAAUUGGGGUUUUCAAUUUGCACAACAAGAUCAUCAUCAUCAUCGCCACUGAAUUUGGUCGACAUUGGGGUUUUCAAUUUGCACAACAAGAUCAUCGUCAUCAUCGCCACUGAAUUUGGGGUUUUCUUUUUGCACAACAAGAUCAUCAUCAUCAUCGCCACUAAAUUUGGGCGAAAUUAGGGUUUCAAGGUUAGUUCUUCUUAACAAUUUCAUGUUUCUCGAUCUCUUAUUAAUUUGUGAGAAGAAUUGUGAUUGUUUCAUUCUUGAUGUUGGUGAUAAUUGUGAUUGUUUACUUCUUUUCUCAUGUUGUUAGAAACCAAGUUGAUGAAUUGUCAUUGUUUUUUUUUUUAUCUUUGUGAGAAGAAUUUUGAUUGUUUCAUUCUUGAUGUUGGUGGUAAUUGUGAUUGUUUCGUUCUUCUCUCAUGUUGUUAGAAAACAAGUUGAUAAAUUGUCAUUGUUUCUUUCUUUAUCUUUGUGAGAAGAAUUGUGAUUGUUUCAUUUUUGAUGUUGGUGGUAAUUGUGGUUGUUUCGUUCUAAUCUCAUGUUGUUAUUUGUUUUAUUCUUUCCUUCUUGAUGUUGUUAGAAAACAACUUGGCAAAUUGAUGGCUUGGUUUUGGUUUCUAUUUAGUUUCUGAUUGAUUCUUUUGUUCUUGAUGUUGUUAUUGAUGAAUUGUGAUUGUUGGUGGUAAUUGUGAUUGUUUCGUUCUUGAUGUUGCUAGAAAACAACUUGGCAAAUUGAUGGCUUGGUUUUGGUCUCUAUUUAGUUUCAGAUUGAUUCUCUUGUUCUUGAAGUUGUUAUUGAUGAAUUGUGAUUGUUGGUGGUAAUUGUGAUUGUUUCGUUCUUGAUGUAGCUAGAAAACAACUUGUGAAGAAUUGUAAUUGUUACCUUCUUUAUCAUUUUUCUCUGAUGUUAUUGAUCAUUAUAGACCAGUGAAUUUAGCCAAAAUAUGGGUUUGUUUGAAUUGUAAUUAUUGUUUGGUAAUUAGGGUUUGUUUGUUUGAUUCUUUCUUUCUUUCGUUCUUGAUGUUGUUAGAAAACAACUUGGUAGAUUGAUGGUUUGGUUCUGGUUUCAAUCUACUUUGUGAUUGAUUCUUUUGUUCUUGAUGUUGUUAUGAAUUGUGAACUUGCUACUCAUGUUGUUUGUAGUUAUUAUGCAUUCUUAUAGGUUCUGUCUUCAAGGGUUUGUUGAUGUUUAUACAUUCUUAUAGUAGGAGAUGAUGAUACGGGUUUAUUUGAGUAUAUAGGCUUUGUUGUUAUUGAUGUUAGAAAACAAGUUGAGAAUUGUGAUUGGCAAAUUGAUGCCGUUAUAUGUUUGAUUCUUUCGUUCUUGAUGUUGUUAGAAAACAACUUGGCAAAUUGAUGUUUGGUUGUGGUUUGUAACUUUGUAUCUAGCUAGUUAUUGAUGUUAGGAAACAAGUUGAGAAUUGUGAUUGUCAAUCUCAUUCUUGUCUCAUAUCUAGGUUUAUCUGAGUAUACAUUUGUUGUUUGAUUUGAAUCAUAGUAAUUUGUUGUUUGAGGGAAGUUUGUGAUUAAUUAUCAUGUUCAUCUAUGCUUAUGUACUAUGGAAAGUAGAUUAAUCCUGCAUGUUUUUUUUAUUUCUUCUCAUUUGUAGUAAUUGCAAAUAUAGUAUACUGUACAACACUCCUCAAGUUACAAAUUGUUUGUAGACUUGGCCAUGGUCUGUACUCUGUAAUCAAUUAGGCAUGUGGGUGUAACUGGGGUUUGGCAUUUUGAAUGUGGCAGACUUGGUAGUUAUCUGAUGGUUUUUAUGAUCUUGCUUAAUUGUGAAUGAUGUCACAACAAAUUAGUUAGAAGGUAAUUACAAUCAUCACCUCCUUUCUCAUAUCUCCUUUUAUAUAAUGUUAAAUAAUUGGCAAAUGCUUCCUUUAUGCGGUGUAUACCAUAUACGUAAUACUUGCUUGACUGUGCUUAGGAGCUGAUAUUUGAAUUGCUUCCUCACAUCUUGGUUGGAAGAUUAAAUAGAGGUUUCAGUUUGCACAAUUUGUAGCCUAGAAUGCAGGGUACUUUCAUAAAGCACAAUAUAUUGUGCUUGUUGAAAAGUUAUGUUCUGAAUAUGACCAAAAUGUUUUUAUUUUUUGGUAAUGUUAGGAUCUGUUUUGGUAAUGUUAGGAUCUGUUUUGGUAAUGUUAGGAUCUGUUUUUUAUUUUUUGGUAAUGUUUUUAUUGUUUGGAAAGUGGAUUAAUUCUGCUUGUUAGAAAAGAAGUUGGCAGAUUGAUGGUUUGGUUCUGGUUUCAAUCUAGUUUGUGAUUGAUUCUUUUGUUCUUGAUGUUGUUAUUGAUGAAUUGUGAACUUGCUACUCAUGUUGUUUGUAGUUAUUAUACAUUCUUAUAGGUCCUGUCUUCAAGGGUUUGUUGAUGUUUAUGAACCAGUGAAUGAGUAAUUAUCAUGUUAAAUUGUGGCAAAUUUGUGGAAGAUGAUAUGGGUUUAUCUGAGUAUAUAGGUUUUGUUGUUAUUGAUGUUAGAAAACAAGUUUGAGAAUUGUGAUUGGCAAAUUGAUGUUGUUAUCUGUUUGAUUCUUUCGUUCUUGAUGUUGUUAGAAAACAACUUAGCAAAUUGAUGUUUGGUUGUGGUUUCUAUCUAGUUAUUGAUGUUAGAAAACAAGUUGAGAAUUGUGAUUGUCAAUCUCAUUCUUGUCUGAUAUCUAGGUUUAUCUGAGUAUAUAGUAAUUUGUUGUUUAUUUGAAUUAGUAAAUAGUAAUUUGUUGUUUGAGUGAAGUUUGUGAUUAAUUAUCAUGUUGUUGGUCUAUACUUAUAUAGUAUGGAAAGUAGAUUAAUCCUGCAUGUUUGUUUUUAUUUCUUCUCAUUUGUAGUUGCAAGAUAGUAUACUGUAUAAGCACUCCUCAAAUUACAAGUCGUUUGCAGACUUGACCAUGGUUUGUACUCUGUAAUCAAUUAGGCAUGUGGGUGUAACUAGGGUCUGUCAUUUUGAAUGUGGCAGGCUUGGUAGUUAUCUGAUAGUAUUUAUGAUCUAGCUUAAUUGUGAUUGAUGUCAUAGCAAAUUAGUUACAAUCAUCGUCCCUUUCUCACAUCUCCUGUUAUAUUAUGUUAAAUAAUUUGCAAAUGCUUCCUUUAUGCGGUGUAUACCGUAUACGUAAUACUUGCGUGAAUGUGCUUAGAAUCUGAUACUUGAAUUGUUUCUUCACAUCCAGGUUGGAGGAUUAAAUAGAGGUUUCAGUUAGCAUAAUUUGUAGCCUAGAAUGCAG